GAAAUGCGAUAAGUAAUGUGAAUUGCAGAAUUCAGUGAAUCAUCGAAUCUUUGAACGCACAUUGCGCCCGCCAGUAUUCUGGCGGGCAUGCCUGUCCGAGCGUCAUUUCAACCAUCAAGCCCCCGGGCUUGUGUUGGGGACCUGCGGCUGCCCGCAGGCCCUGAAACCAGUGGCGGGCUCGCUGUCACACCGAGCGUAGUAGCAAUCACCUCGCUCAGGGCGUGCUGCGGGUUCCGGCCGUUAAACAGCCUUACAAAACCCAAGGUUGACCUCGGAUCAGGUAGGAAGACCCGCUGAACUUAAGC
rnacentral:misc_RNA from 1 species